GUAGCGUAAUCACUUGUCUUUUAAAUAAAGACCCGUAUGAAAGGCAAAACGAAAGUUCAACUGUCUCUUUAAUCUAGUCAGUGAAAUUAAUUUUUCCGUGCAAAAGCGGAAAUAACUCUAUAAGACGAGAAGACCCUAUGGAGCUUUAAAUAAAAAUUAACCAUACUUUAACUACUCACCUAAGGGUAAAGAAUAAAAAUGUAUGACCAUAAUUUUAAUUUUCGGUUGGGGCGACCACGGAAGAAAACCCAUCCUCCGCGAUAGAAAAUCUAGAACAACAGUUCAAAACUUAAAACAUUUGUUAUAAAUGACCCACUAAGUGAUCAACGAACCAAGUUACCCUAGGGAUAACAGCGCAAUCCUUUCUAAGAGUUCAUAUCGACGAAUGGGUUUACGACCUCGAUGUUGGAUCAGGACACCCCAAUGGUGCAGCCGCUAUUAAAGGUUCGUUUGUUCAACGAUUAAAGUCCUACGUGAUCUGAGUUCAGACCGGACGUCGCCUGUUUAUCAAAAACAUAACGUGA
rnacentral:rRNA from 1 species